GGCGGCAUGCCUAACACAUGCAAGUCGAACGGCAGCACAGUAGUAGCAAUACUAUGGGUGGCGAGUGGCGGACGGGUGAGGAAUACAUCGGAAUUUGCCCUGUCGUGGGGGAUAACGUAGGGAAACUUACGCUAAUACCGCAUACGACCUAACGGUGAAAGCGGGGGAUCGAAAGACCUCGCGCGGUCGGAGAAGCCGAUGUCAGAUUAGCUAGUUGGCGGGGUAAAGGCCCACCAAGGCGACGAUCUGUAGCUGGUCUGAGAGGAUGAUCAGCCACACGGGGACUGAGACACGGCCCAGACUCCUACGGGAGGCAGCAGUGGGGAAUAUUGGACAAUGGGGGCAACCCUGAUCCAGCAAUGCCGCGUGUGUGAAGAAGGCCUUCGGGUUGUAAAGCACUUUUAUCUGGAGCGAAACACGCAAGGUUAAUAACUUUGCGGACUGACGGUACCAGAGGAAUAAGCACCGGCUAACUUCGUGCCAGCAGCCGCGGUAGUACGAAGGGUGCAAGCGUUACUCGGAAUUACUGGGCGUAAAGCGUGCGUAGGUGGUUUCUUAAGUCUGCUGUGAAAGCCC
rnacentral:rRNA from 1 species